GUGGCCGCUCCCAGUCACCAGUCUAGCUGCCGCAUUCUGGAUUAAUUGCAGUUUCCGGGUCACCUUCAAAGGUAGCCCCACACAGAGCGCAUUGCAGUAGUCCAAGCGGGAGAUAACCAGAGCAUGCACCACUCUGGCCAGACAGUCCGUGGGCAGGGAGGGUCUCAUCCUGCGUACCAGAUGGAGCUGAUAAACAGCUGCCCUGGAUACAGAAUGGACCUGCGCCUCCAUGGACAGCUGUGAGUCCAAAAUGACUCCCAGGCUGCGCACCUGGUCCUUCAGGGGCACAGUUGCCCCAUUCAGGACCAGGGAGUCCUCCACACCCGCCCACCUCCUGCCCCCCAAAAACAGUACUUCUGUCUUGUCAGGAUUCAACUUCAAUCCAUUAGCCGCCAUCCAUCCUCCAACCGUCUCCAAGCACUGACA